CCUACGGGCGGCAGCAGUCAAGAAUAUUCCUCAAUGGACGAAAGUCUGACGCAGCGACGCCGCGUGUAGGAUGAAGGUUUUCGGGUCGUAAACUACUUUUAUGUGGGAAGAAUUUGUUACGGUACCACACGAAUAAGAGGUUGCUAACUCUGUGCCAGCAGCAGCGGUAAUACAGAGACCUCAAGCGUUAUCCGGAAUUAUUGGGCGUAAAGCGUCCGCAGGUUGUGAGAGUAGUCAGAAGUUAAAACUUCGCGCUUAACGUGAAGAUUGCUUUUGAUACUGUCACGCUAGAGUAUGGGAGAGGUAAGCGGAAUUCUCGGUGUAGGCGUAAUAAGCGUUGAUAUCGAGAAGAACACCAGAUGCGAAGGCAGCUUACUAGAACAUUACUGACACUCAUGGACGAAAGCGUGGGGAGCAAACAGGAUUAGAUACCCCAGUAGUC
rnacentral:rRNA from 1 species